ACAUCACAGCUGGACUUUUGUAUCAGCUUGGCGACUUUUACGCUGCAAGGCAACAGUCUAAAGACGGCGGAAAAAAACAGAAAAAGAAAUUUUAUUCAAUUAGUCUCUGCUGUAUUUUGAAGUUCAAGCAAUUGAUAUGCAGCUGAUUGCAUUAUCAGUACGAAAAGGAGGCGUACAAAAAAUAUUCACAUAUCGAACAAACAUAUGUAUAUGUACAUACAUAUGUACAUAUAUAAAAACAGGAUUUGUCGCACACCUUAUAUAAUUACUUGAAAUCUUCUAUUUAUAACGCCUGAAUGUAUCUUUAUGUCUGCAGCAAGUUAAUUUAAUUACUUACAUGCGUACGCAAAAAAAUUUUUAUGGUAAUUCGUUUAGUACGAUAAGUGGCAAAGCUAAAAAUAUCAAUAUCAAGAGUUAUUUCAAAAUACUAAGCGCGCGAAGGAAAUUGAGAAAACUAACUACACUUACAUAUUAAAUAU